AACGAACGCUGGCGGCAUGCCUAAUACAUGCAAGUCGAACGAGAUCUUCGGAUCUAGUGGCGCACGGGUGCGUAACGCGUGGGAAUCUGCCCUUGGGUUCGGAAUAACUUCUGGAAACGGAAGCUAAUACCGGAUGAUGACGUAAGUCCAAAGAUUUAUCGCCCAAGGAUGAGCCCGCGUAGGAUUAGGUAGUUGGUGAGGUAAAGGCUCACCAAGCCGACGAUCCUUAGCUGGCCUGAGAGGAUGAUCAGCCACACUGGGACUGAGACACGGCCCAGACUCCUACGGGAGGCAGCAGGAGGGAAUAUUGGACAAUGGGCGAAAGCCUGAUCCAGCAAUGCCGCGUGAGUGAUGAAGGCCUUAGGGUUGUAAAGCUCUUUUACCCGGGAUGAUAAUGACAGUACCGGGAGAAUAAGCUCCGGCUAACUCCGUG
rnacentral:rRNA from 1 species